AAAAAAAAAGCCUCCGCUCCCCUUCAAACUCAUCUAGAGUCGAUACUUCAGUGAGAUGGGACCACGUUUCUGAAGGCACUUGGGAUUUACUGCAAUAUGGCAAUGGCGGAUGAAGGAAGAACCCCCAACAAAUGUGCAGAUGAGCAUCUCUUUAGCAUUGAGCAUUGGAUAUUGAGUGCACGGAAAUCCCAGGUUUUAACCCACCCUUGGAACAUCAAGGUUUCAAGUUUUGGGAAUGGGUUGCUGUAUCGUUAGAUUUCUAUCAGGAUUGGCAGGCACCAAUCUGGAGAUGAUGCUGAGAUAUUGGCCAAAAAUGGGGCUGAGGAUCAGGCCAUCUCAGCUGACACUCAUCUGAUCUCCAAUUCUGAGCGCCCAUGGAUGGUAGAAAGGCCUGCUUACCUGUAUCUUCCAUCCCUGCUGGAUUAAUUUUUAUGGAGCAAGUUUUUUUUCUGUCCAGGGUGAAGAGAGAAUCUCUUCAUCUAAAAUGAUUUGAUGCUAUGCUUGGACUUUUAGAAUAGUGAAUGUCAUUAUUGAUUCCCCGUUUGUUUA